AGGAUCUCGUUGGCUCCCCCUCUAAUCGCACACCGGUUUAAACACCAAGUGCCAGAUUUGUAGCAAAAAUGCUAAAACGACGCAGCCGAGGACUGUACCAUUCGCAGAGAGGGGGGUUCAUUUAAUAAACAGCUCUUUGCAGCGUAGAGCGUAUAGAAGCGGGUUUACGCACGAGUUAACCAGACAGAGCGUGCUACAGAAAGCGAACAUUCGCUGUUGUUUAUUCGUAAGGGUCACUGUGACAUCCACCAUCAUAAAGGACAGGACAGGCAGCCAACAAACAGCAAGGAUUAGGAGGAUCAGACUGAAGGAUGAGAACAUAAGCCACUAUGAUAAGAAAGAGCACCACAAGCUGUAGGCCCGUCCAGAAAGCCAGGUAGUGAUGAUCCACAUAAGGGAAGAGAUGGGAGCAAGGAGGAUCAAACUUAGUGGUGCACCUCCAACCCAUCAGA